AAAUUAAAACUUUCACCAACGGAUCUCUUGGUUCUGGCAUCGAUGAAGAACGCAGCGAAAUGCGAUAAGUAAUGUGAAUUGCAGAAUUCAGUGAAUCAUCGAAUCUUUGAACGCACAUUGCGCCCCUUGGUAUUCCGAGGGGCAUGCCUGUUCGAGCGUCAUU
rnacentral:rRNA from 1 species